UACAGAGGUGGCAAGCGUUGUUCGGAAUUACUGGGCGUAAAGGGAGCGCAGGCGGCCAAGCCAGUCUGAAGUGCAAGCCCGGGGCUCAACCCCGGAAUUGCUUUGGAUACUACUUGGCUUGAGUACGUCAGAGGUGAGCGGAAUUCCAGGUGUAGCGGUGAAAUGCGUAGAUAUCUGGAGGAACAUCGGUGGCGAAAGCGGCUCACUGGGACGAAACUGACGCUGAGGCUCGAAAGCGUGGGGAGCGAACGGG
rnacentral:rRNA from 1 species